UAAGUGUCAUCAUUUAUAGGGGCUGGUUAAAUGUUUCACACUGGUACAGGAUUUUAUGUGCCGUUUUUGUUUAAUUUUAUGUGCCGUUUUUGUUUAAAAUGUAGCCAUACAUCCUCACUGAGAAGAACCACCAAAAAGGACUUUGGCCUUGGCAUAAUGGCACCUCAACGUGGUGCUGACCACUGAACCCCAAGAUUAAAGCCAACAUGGUGCUCACCACUGAACUCUGAGACGAGUGCUGGAGGAAGAAGUAUGAAAAAGAAUGUGUUGCUGCCUGCCAGACGAUGAUGGAAGACCCAUAAAUGCUGUCUUCUGAACCCCAAGAGAAAUCGGAGAAAUCGGUGAAAGUGCGGCUGAUCGGCUUUCCCCAAAAAGCAAGGAAGAGGUGACCAGACGUGAGGAACCCGCAAGAAAAAUAUCGGUGGAUAUCAGUUGUGAAUGUGACCUGCAUUUGGCUGCAUGAUUUCCCAGGUAUGAGGUGAUGAGUUGGCUGCAGUGCACAUUGAGUGUGUAUGGAAUGUGCAUACAAAGGACCCUGUGCUUUGGAUGAGGAGCAGGCUCUUCCUCUACUCCUGCCCAGACUCCUAAGAAGCAACAUGUGAUCUGCCC